ACUAUGUAUUGGGGAUAUUUGGGAGAAGAAAGGGAUCCAGCAAUUUCGAUUUAAAAUGUUUAUCUAUCUCGGCUGAGAAUUAACCCACCUCCAACGCCCCCAUCCGACGUAUGUGAGUAAUUCAAAACCGCUUUGAGGCGCAUAUCAGGGUCUUUCAGCCGGAACCAAUGAAAAAACGCAUCAAUGGGAAUCAAUGUCUCCCUCAUUGUCAUUUAUAGAUCAAAAAGAAAACGCAUCGAAGGAACUCAGUGUUGUUCCUUCAAAGAUGAAUCUAAAUUAUAAAACCACACAGUAUGAAAUGCUAGAAAAUAUUGAGACGGAAUAAUUUUUGGAAUUCCAUAACGGGUCAGUGAUUUAGGAAGUCUACAAUCUCAAUCCUAAAACCAGGAGAGUCAGUUUUUGAAAUUGUUAGGGUUUCUUUGUAGUCCGUUAUCUGGGCUUAUGGAAGGUGCUACUAAUGCUCUUUCUAAUGGGGGACUAAUUCUCUCAGCCACGAUGGAAGAACUGAAAGCUUUUUCUUCGUUGUAAGUCGCUCUUCAUUCAUCCAACCAUCCAUGGCAAAAUUUGUGUUGAUGCUCGACAUAUUUGGAGACAAACCAACAUCCAUCAGUUUGCAGAACCAACUCCAAUGGGUCUUUGCAGUGAACAAUUCGUAUAAAUAAAUGUUUCCUUCAGAUGAACCAAGGGGUCUUUGCUGAAACUGAAAAAUUCAUAUAAAUAAAUGUUUCAUUCAGAUUCUUGGUAUUCCUACUAUAAUGUUAGGCUACAUAUGGGAUGACUGCUCUCUUUGUCACACACACCAGCCUCAUUUUAAAACACCUAUCUACUUUUUCGGAUCCAACAGCAACAUUUAAGGCAGUCUGAUUUUCACCGAAUUGCAACUAGGCACGGUCUAUCACACUAGAAGUCAUGAUGCACAACAGAAAUUAAGAAUUCUCAACUAAGAUUACAACUCAAUGACAUCUGUAACCCUAUAUGCAGUUAACAAUUAACCUCUGUGUACCAGCCAAAACACAAUGAAGGAUAUGGCUCAUUCUCAGCAUUCUUAGUAUGUCAUAUCUCUCAUUUUCAUCUGAUGGUGGUUUUUGUAUGAUUCAUCGAUGUGCUACUGCAAGUCAAAUGGUUUACUCUACUGCAGCCAUUUACCUUUUCUUAAGUUGGAGUUGUUACAACCAUGGGAAUCCAUCGCUGUGCUACAAGAUACUGCAGGAAACCUUAAUUUUUGUCAGUUGACACACGUACAUAAGACUCUAUCGCUGUUCUAAAAUCUAAACUGCUAAGAAAUUUUGUUGCACCCAUGGACACUAACAUACGUUAUUAUUGGCAGCGAAGCAAAUGAAAUUAGAGCGCAUAAUUGUUUGGAAUAAGCUCAAUUAAAGUGGGUCAAUCUAAUAUCAUCGGGUGGGAUGGUUGGCGAUAAAGUUGAUCACAAAUGUUUCUCUGUGAUUAAUAUGCGCUAUGAUUGAUUACAUGAUUGUAUAAUGGCCUUUUAAGUAAUUGAUUAAAGAAAUGGCAUGAUGAAUUCAAAAU